rnacentral:sRNA from 2 species
UAAGUGGUUUUCCAGGGUUCCGCAGCUUACUGGCUGAUCCGAGAGAAAACAACAGUCUACGGAAUGUAGCACGGAGGAAUAAAAGUCCGGGAGAA